rnacentral:tRNA from 1 species
AAGGCUUUAGCUUACUUAAAGUGUCUGUUUUGCAUACAGGCGAUGUGGGAUAAUAUCCUGCAAGUCUUA